AACGGAUAAAAGGUACUCCGGGGAUAACAGGCUGAUACCGCCCAAGAGUUCAUAUCGACGGCGGUGUUUGGCACCUCGAUGUCGGCUCAUCACAUCCUGGGGCUGAAGUAGGUCCCAAGGGUAUGGCUGUUCGCCAUUUAAAGUGGUACGCGAGCUGGGUUUAGAACGUCGUGAGACAGUUCGGUCCCUAUCUGCCGUGGGCGCUGGAGAACUGAGGGGGGCUGCUCCUAGUACGAGAGGACCGGAGUGGACGCAUCACUGGUGUUCGGGUUGUCAUGCCAAUGGCACUGCCCGGUAGCUAAAUGCGGAAGAGAUAAGUGCUGAAAGCAUCUAAGCACGAAACUUGCCCC
rnacentral:rRNA from 1 species